AAACUACAAGGGGAGCCGAAGCUCCCCAAGAAGUAGUUGCGUGCUCUGUUUUUAUUUUUUGUCGGGCUUCUUGUUUUUGUUGAGUGCCCUGUCCACCGAACCUGGGUUCGGGGGUGGCUCCCUAUUCGGGAGCAAGAGCAAACGGAUUGCUUUGGUCGCUGUGCUGUGAUGAUCGCGGUGAUCCAACCAGUUCUGGCUUCUGCUUCAAAGCAGUU
rnacentral:misc_RNA from 1 species